UACGGAGGGUGCAAGCGUUAAUCGGAAUUACUGGGCGUAAAGCGCGCGUAGGCGGUUUUUUAAGUCGGAUGUGAAAUCCCCGGGCUCAACCUGGGAAUUGCCUUCGAUACUGGGAGACUUGAGUACGAGAGAGGGAGGUAGAAUUCCACGUGUAGCGGUGAAAUGCGUAGAUAUGUGGAGGAAUACCAGUGGCGAAGGCGGCCUCCUGGCUCGAUACUGACGCUCAUGUGCGAAAGCGUGGGGAGCAAACAGG
rnacentral:rRNA from 1 species